CUGGCGGCAGGCUUAACACAUGCAAGUCGAACGAUAUAGUGGCAGACGGGUGAGUAACGCGUGGAAACGUGCCUUUCACUACGGAAUAGCUUUUGGAAACGAAAGGUAAUACCGUAUACCCCCUCCGGGGGAAAGAUUUAUCGGUGAAAGAUCGGUCCGCGUUAGAUUAGCUAGUUGGUGAGGUAAGAGCUCACCAAGGCGACGAUGUAUAGCUGGUCUGAGAGGAUGAUCAGCCACACUGGGACUGAGACACGGCCCAGACUCCUACGGGAGGCAGCAGUGGGGAAUAUUGCACAAUGGGCGCAAGCCUGAUGCAGCCAUGCCGCGUGAAUGAUGAAUGCCUUAGGGUUGUAAAAUUCUUUCGCCAAGGAUGAUAAUGACAGUACUUGGUAAAGAAGCCCCGGCUAACUUCGUGCCAGCAGCCGCGGUAAUACGAAGGGGGCUAGCGUUGUUCGGAAUUACUGGGCGUAAAGCGCACGUAGGCGGAUUUUUAAGUCAGAUGUGAAAUCCCAAGGCUCAACCUUGGAACUGCAUUUGAAACUGGGAAUCUAGAGAUCAUGAGAGGUUAGUGUAAUACCGAGUGUACAGGUGAAAUUCGUAGAUGUUCUGUGGAACACCACUGGCGAAGGCCACGAAGUCGACUGAUACUGACCCUUAAGUGCGAAAAUUUCCGGAGCAAACAGGAUUGGAUGCCCCGGUAGUCUACACCGUAAACGAUCAGAGCUAGUUGUCUGCAGGCCUGCCUGUACGUGACUCACCUCAAGCAUUAAGCACUUCGCCUGGGGAGUACGGUCUCCAGGUUAAAACUCCAGAAAAUU
rnacentral:rRNA from 1 species